AGUCUGUCCUAAUGCCAAAUGCAGAGCCUCAAGGGGCAAGCACCUUCCAAAUUGCAUCUUGGGGGCGAGAGACGAGGAGCUGGCCUGCAGCUUCAGGCACUCAUGCAGGGCUGCCCGCUCUGUUCUAGAUACAUCGUAUGUGCAUUAACAGCGACGUAGACCAGUGAGCUUAUAUUUCACACGUGUAAACUAGAGGAAGAUAUAAAAAAUAUCAAGUUGAGGAAUAAUACCUUCGUUAAGGGUAGCUUUAGCUUGUCCCCCUCAAAAUGCGGCCCAAUAUGGACAACACAACCACCAGUGUAAGUGCUGGAAAAUGUAACAUGUGUCAGCAGUGUAGUUAGGUUAGUCGUAUGAGGGAAAAUAGCUUCGUGAUCGUAGAGAAACAUGACAUGACAAACAAGAAACUUACCGGGAAAACAUUGUAUCCGUGAGAAGGGAAACUUCAGAGUCCAUUCUUCCCCGCUUGUUAAUGUCCUGAAUUACGUUCUCAUCAGUAUGCAUGACUGACCCU
rnacentral:lncRNA from 1 species